rnacentral:snRNA from 1 species
GUGCUCACUUCGGCAGCACAUACACGAAAAUGGGAACAAUACAGAGAAGAUUAGCAUGGAGGAGCACCCGGAUACAUAAAGCAAGUUCUU